AGCCUGACUUGGGACUUGAUCCCAGGACCCUGAGAUCAUAACCUGAGCCAAUGGCAAACACCUAACCUACUGAACCACCCAGUCACCCCCAGUCACCCCCAGGGUCCAGAAUCUUCAUUUCAGGGGCAGAUAAGUUGCAGAUGGCUUGGUUUAGCUUCUUCUGGCCUCUGGAAGCCCACCUGGCUCAGGCUUGGACCUUUGUGGAACCAGUGACAGUGUGGGUUAGGCUGAGAAGGAACCAGCUGGAAAGCAUGUGUACUGCAAGGGUUGGGGCUGGGAGGGACAGGCGAGUAAGUAUGGUUGCAGGCUGGGAGCCAGAUGGGACUCAUUAUUCAACAGUUCAGGCUGAAUCCAGGAUGAGGGUGGAGCAAGCAGUUGAUAGAGAAGCAGACUAGGGCCUGGCACAGCACCGUAGCAUGAAUUAGAAAAAGGCGUUGCGCUGUGUGUGUUAGAAGAAGACAACAGGAAAGGAUGUCCCCUCACAACUGCUGCGGGUACCCUGGUAGGGACAGGAGAAAGCCAGCCAACCCCCAGGACAAGUCAAGGACCUGGUGCGAGAUUACCCAGCUGGAAGACACUGAGCCCGGAGGAUGAGAACUCUGGUCCAUCAAGGAAUGGAGUCCAGUUUCCACACAGGUCGGUCUCUGUGCUAGCCCUCAAGAUGCCCAGGUGAGAAGAUGUGGACUCUGCCCUCAAGUUGUUCCCAGCUGAGAGAAAACGGAGAAGCCAACACUCAGGAUGUGCUGGGAUGGAGCUGGCUGUGGAGUGGGUGGGUAGACAGGACUCCCACCACACCUCCCUGGGAGAAGGGGAGAAGACACUUUGAAAGUUCCUCACAGACCUGUCUAUUGAUGUUCUUGGUUCUACUCUUCAGAUCUCAGCCAGUAAUCAAUCAGGAGUCCCCACUGGUAGACCUAGAUCCUGCCUAUGUUCUCAAGAACCAUGGCCACUGGCAACUGAAAUACAGCUUAAGUGCUUGCUAAUGGAGGAGCCCACCCCCCUUGGCCCAGACCCUCCCCCACCCCGGUGGGGCUACAGCGCUGAGAAUCUAUGAAGAAAGGCCAGCUUGCCCGCUCACCUCAGUUUGGGGGGGGAAAGAGGUAAAGAACAUUAUCAGGUCAAUUGAAGAGAGGAUUGUAUUAAUACUAAAUUUACUGAAGUUGAUUAAUAUACUGUGGUUAUGUAAGGGAAUAUUUUUGUUCUUAGUACAUACACACUGAUGUAUUUAGGGGUAAAGAGCCAUGAUGUACCAUUUUCUUUCCAAAGAUUCAGAAAAAUGUUUUAUAUAACAUAUGGAUAUUUGUAAACACUUAUUUACAUAUAUGUCUACAUAUAUAAAGAGAGAGAGCAAAUGAUGAAACAAAUGGGCAAAAUGUUAAUAGGUGGAUCUAAGCAAGAUGUAGGUAUUCUGUGUCCAAUUUAUAUUUCUGCAACUUUUCUGUGUAUUUGAAAUUAUUUUCAAAUAAAAAUUCUUAAAAUUUUA